rnacentral:rRNA from 1 species
GACGAACGCUGGCGGCGUGCCUAAUACAUGCAAGUCGAACGCUUCUUUCCUCCCGAGUGCUUGCUCUCAAUUGGAAAGAGGAGUGGCGGACGGGUGAGUAACACGUGGGUAACCUACCCAUCAGAGGGGGAUAACACUUGGAAACAGGUGCUAAUACCGCAUAACAGUUUAUGCCGCAUGGCAUAAGAGUGAAGGGCGCUUUCGGGUGUCGCUGAUGGAUGGACCCGCGGUGCAUUAGCUAGUUGGUGAGGUAACGGCUCACCAAGGCCACGAUGCAUAGCCGACCUGAGAGGGUGAUCGGCCACACUGGGACUGAGACACGGCCCAGACUCCUACGGGAGGCAGCAGUAGGGAAUCUUCGGCAAUGGACGAAAGUCUGACCGAGCAACGCCGCGUGAGUGAAGAAGGUUUUCGGAUCGUAAAACUCUGUUGUUAGGGAAGAACAAGGACGUUAGUAACUGAACGUCCCCUGACGGUAUCUAACCAGAAAGCCACGGCUAACUACGUG